GUAUUGCUGAAGAGUCUCAUAAUAGGACGAAACGGGUCGUCAACACAGUGC
rnacentral:hammerhead_ribozyme from 1 species